rnacentral:rRNA from 1 species
UACAGAGGUCCCAAGCGUUGUUCGGAUUUACUGGGCGUAAAGGGUGCGUAGGUGGUGGGGUAAGUCUGAUGUGAAAUCUCCGGGCUCAACUCGGAAAUGGCAUUGGAAACUACCUUGCUAGAGGGUUGGAGGGGGGACUGGAAUGCUCGGUGUAGCAGUGAAAUGCGUAGAUAUCGAGCGGAACACCAGUGGCGAAGGCGAGUCCCUGGACAACUCCUGACACUGAGGCACGAAAGCUAGGGGAGCAAACAGG